rnacentral:rRNA from 1 species
AAAAAGUCCUGGUCUAGUAUAGCAAUUUAUACAGUGAAACUGCGAAUGGCUCAUUAAAUCAGUUAUCGUUUAUUUGAUAGUUCCUUUACUACAUGGUAUAACUGUGGUAAUUCUAGAGCUAAUACAUGCUUAAAAUCUCGACCUCUUGGAAGAGAUGUAUUUAUUAGAUAAAAAAUCAAUGUCUUCGGACUUUUUGAUGAUUCAUAAUAACUUUUCGAAUCGCAUGGCCUUGUGCUGGCGAUGGUUCAUUCAAAUUUCUGCCCUAUCAACUUUCGAUGGUAGGAUAGUGGCCUACCAUGGUUUCAACGGGUAACGGGGAAUAAGGGUUCGAUUCCGGAGAGGGAGCCUGAGAAACGGCUACCACAUCCAAGGAAGGCAGCAGGCGCGCAAAUUACCCAAUCCUGACACAGGGAGGUAGUGACAAUAAAUAACGAUACAGGGCCCAUUCGGGUCUUGUAAUUGGAAUGAGUACAAUGUAAAUACCUUAACGAGGAACAAUUGGAGGGCAAGUCUGGUGCCAGCAGCCGCGGUAAUUCCAGCUCCAAUAGCGUAUAUUAAAGUUGUUGCAGUUAAAAAGCUCGUAGUUGAACUUUGGGCCUGGGUGGCCGGUCCGAUUUUUUCGUGUACUGGAAUGCACCCGGGCCUUUCCUUCUGGCUAACCCCAAGUCCUUGUGGCUUGGCGGCGAACCAGGACUUUUACUUUGAAAAAAUUAGAGUGUUCAAAGCAGGCGUAUUGCUCGAAUAUAUUAGCAUGGAAUAAUGGAAUAGGACGUUUGGUUCUAUUUUGUUGGUUUCUAGGACCAUCGUAAUGAUUAAUAGGGACGGUCGGGGGCAUCAGUAUUCAAUUGUCAGAGGUGAAAUUCUUGGAUUUAUUGAAGACUAACUACUGCGAAAGCAUUUGCCAAGGACGUUUUCAUUAAUCAAGAACGAAAGUUAGGGGAUCGAAGAUGAUCAGAUACCGUCGUAGUCUUAACCAUAAACUAUGCCGACUAGGGAUCGGGGGGGUGUUUUUUUAGUGACCCACUCGGCACCUUACGAGAAAUCAAAGUCUUUGGGUUCUGGGGGGGAGUAUGGUCGCAAGGCUGAAACUUAAAGGAAUUGACGGAAGGGCACCCCCAGGAGUGGAGCCUGCGGCUUAAUUUGACUCAACACGGGGAAACUCACCAGGUCCAGACCCAAUAAGGAUUGACAGAUUGAAACUCUUUCUUGAUUUUUGGGGGGGGGGUGCAGGGCCGUUCUUAAUUGGGGGGAGGGAUUUGUCUGGUUUAUUUGCGAAACCGACAAGAACCUUAACCUUCUAAAAAAUGGGGGCUACAAUUUGCGGGGUGUGCCCUUCUUUAAAGGAGAUUUCCGGUUUCAACCCCCAAGGAGAUUUGGAGGGAAUAAACGGUUUUGGAAGCUCUUUAAAUUUUUUGGGGCCCCCCGGCUCUUUUAGGAGGACCGGAGUUUAACUUUCGCGAAGGCUGGGGUUUUUGGGACAAUCCCCUGGCGGGGAAAAAAAAUAAAAUUUGUCUUCUCAAAGAUCAUAAAAAGAGAAAAACACCGGGGGUAAAAUCCCCCCCUCUUCCCCCCGCCCCCCCCCCAAGGGGUUAGGGGCGUUCUUUAAAAGGGUCCCAAAAGGGGGGAUAAGGGGGAAAAAUGAAGUUAUAAUGAAACCAGGAAGAAUAGAAGAAAGGGGGGGGGGGGGUUUUAGGGGUGAAAGGGGGGACGGGAAAGAAGAAAAUAGAAACUGAAAUAAAAAAACAAACCCAAAAAACCAAAAAUUGGGGGUUUUGAAGA